UGGAAAUAUGUAGCCGAUUUUAGUUCUAUGAAUUUGAUUGUACACACCGCUGACCGCAUUGAUGGCCGCCGCCACGUGUUCGUUUGUCGAAUGGCGAUCCCCCAGAGUUCGUCAAUUUACCUACAGCAGGCUCCCAGCCUGGGAGGUAAAUUGCCAGCACACUUCUACUUCUGGGUGGUCCACCUGUGUGGUACUUGGUUCAGUAAGCCCCAUUUACUGAACCAAGUGGGAGAAAGCCAGGAACACAGUAUAUUAACAGUUUGGGGACACUGGGGACACCGUCUUAAAGGGGCAUUGUUCCCAAAAGUCACAGUAAGUCCCCAGAUGGUUCUUAAAGGGCCAGCAGCAGCAUAAUAAAAUACAAU